rnacentral:tRNA from 1 species
UCCCUCGUGGCGCAAUUGGCUAGCGCGUUCGACUGUUAAUUGAAGCGAUUCAAAUAGAUAAAUCGAGAGGUUGGUGGUUCGAGCCCACCCGAGGGAG